UGUAUCAAAAGCUGUGUUUAAUGAUCAGACGGAAUGGCAGCAAGGCCACACGGACAGACGGAGCCAAGGACAGGACCGCCGCCUCUGAACCCCUCCCCACUGGUCAAACGUCCAACACCAAAAAAGAGACGUCCCCACCCCGUCCCCAUGUACAAAAUGGCUUCAGUGAAGGCGCCAUUACUCCCUGGGAAGCUGGUAUUUUUUGUAAGGGAUCAGGGCUCACCCCUGCCACCCUCUGUCCGGAACAGACCCGUGAGAGCGCAGCGCUCAGCAGUCCCCGUGUGCAGCUGGGGACGACUGACUUGACAGAAACAGAUUCUGGACUCGAGUCUGGAGGCCGCACUCAACAGGGCGGGUGGCGGGCGGGAGCUGGGGCCCAGGCACCACAGACAGCCAGGGUGCGGGCUCUGUCUCUGCGGCCACAGGGAGCGCUGCUUCGGAAGUGACCACGUGCCGCGGGAGGGCCAUCCGAGGCCAGCAGAGGCUGGGAGCUGUGCAAAGCCUCUCCAAAGAAAAGCCUGGACUACCGUCUCUCGCCCCUGGGCCUGGUCCCCGGCUUCUCCUGAACCUUCUGAAAUGCCCAUCAGAAUGGGGAGACCUUUGGGGUGGGGGUGCUGGCCCCAGGA
rnacentral:lncRNA from 1 species